rnacentral:rRNA from 1 species
GAUGAACGCUAGCUACAGGCUUAACACAUGCAAGUCGAGGGGAAACGAUAGAGAAAGCUUGCUUUUUCUAGGCGUCGACCGGCGCACGGGUGAGUAACGCGUAUCCAACCUGCCCAUCACUUGGGGAUAACCUUGCGAAAGUAAGACUAAUACCCAAUGAUAUCUCUAGAAGACAUCUGAAAGGGAUUAAAGAUUUAUCGGUGAUGGAUGGGGAUGCGUCUGAUUAGCUUGUUGGCGGGGUAACGGCCCACCAAGGCGACGAUCAGUAGGGGUUCUGAGAGGAAGUUCCCCCACAUUGGAACUGAGAAACGGUCCAAACUCCUACGGGAGGCGGCAGUGAGGAAUAUUGGUCAAUGGGCGAGAGCUUGAACCUGCCAAGUAGCGUGCAGGAUGACGGCCCUAUGGGUUGUAAACUGCUUUUAUAAGGGAAUAAAGUGAGUCUCGUGAGACUUUUUGCAUGUACCUUAUGAAUAAGGACCGGCUAAUUCCGUGCCAGCAGCCGCCGUAA